rnacentral:pre_miRNA from 1 species
AUGACAAAUCAGAUUUUUCCUACUGAUUUUCGGCUUUUUCCUCCUGAAAAAUUUCAAAUCCAACUAAAAAUGUUAAAGAUCAGGAGAAAAAAUCUGACUUAUCAU